rnacentral:lncRNA from 1 species
GGUUGAAGAUGCAAGAAGAAGCUAAAAUUGAUGUCACUGUUGAACCAAUAUUGUCUAGUUACUAUCAUGUUUCAAUCUUGUCUCAAAAAUCAUUGGAAACUGCUUUGGCCAAUCAUCUUUCAGUCAAACUAAGCAGUGUAAGUCUUCCUAGUACAACACUUUCUGAUCUUUUUGUUGGUGUUUUUGAAUCUGAUAAAGAAAUUAUGGAUGCUAUGAAAAAUGAUUUGAUAGCAGUUAAGGAAAGAGAUCCUGCUUGUAUAAGUCAUGUGCAUUGUUUCUUGAAUUUCAAAGGCUUUUUAGCAUGUCAAGCUCAUAGGGUAGCUCAUAAUUUAUGGUCAAAUGGAAGGAAAGUUUUAGCUGUUAUGAUUCAGAAUCGAGUUUCAGAAGUUUUUGGAGUUGAUAUUCAUCCGGGAGCUAAGAUCGGAAGUGGGAUUUUGCUCGAUCACGCAACGGGGAUUGUGGUCGGUGAAACAGCUAUUAUUGGUAAUGAUGUUUCAAUUUUGCACGGUGUGACUUUAGGAGGGACCGGUAAGGCUCAUGGUGACAGGCAUCCGAAGAUUGGUGAUGGAGUGUUGAUAGGUGCCGGAACUUGUAUCUUAGGGAAUAUUAAGAUUGGUGAUGGCGCGAAAAUUGGUGCUGGUUCGGUCGUGAUUAUGGAAGUUCCUCCAAGGACAACGGUCGUUGGGAAUCCGGCUAAAUUGAUUGGAGGGAAGAAUAAUCCUAUUAAACUUGAUAAAAUUCCUAGUCACACUAUGGAUCAUAUUUCACAUGUUUCUGAAUUUUAUGAUUAUGUUAUCUAGAGUAUAGUCUUGAAAAAAAUAAUUUAUAGUUUGAUGUUUAGAAUUUCGAAUCGAGUUAUCUAAAUUUGGGGGUUCUUGUUUGUUAUGUAAGAGAGAAUCUUUGUUCUCCUGCUAUGUUAAUAAUAAAAAAAAUGAAAAUAAUUAUGCCCUGACAUUUAGACUAUGGUAUUAUUUCAUAUGCAAUUGUAUUUUCAUUGCUUUGUGCUACUUCUUGUAAAAGUUGUAGCAUUCUAGCUUCAAGUGAUUGCAAACCAGAACUGCCCCCCCCCGAACAAGAUUAGGUGGUCCUAUGAGCCGGAUACUGUGGUGAAAACCAAAAAAGAGGUGUUCAAGCUCCUUCACAGUCACAACUCUAUGGCACCAUCGGCUUGAUCACCCUAUAACAUAAAACAAUUGAAUGCUAGUAGAACCUAUAGUUGCAUUUCAGAAUAUGUAUAAAAACAUUUGUAUAUGAAGCUUUUCUACAUAUGGUCAUCAUGUCAAAAAUGGGUAGUAUCACCGCUACCAAUUCGACAAUCUAUAGCUUCCGAAAACCAAUUUGUCGCAUAACAGUGAAUCAGUCAAAGAGGAGAAUCAGCUUCUAAAAAACAUAGUAAAUAAUUCUAUGGAAUUAUAACAUGGCAAAGAGGAAAAGAUGAAGAAGAUAAAAAAAUUGUAUCAGAUGAUUGAAGAUGAGGUUGCAGACACAAUACGAAAACCAGUGUCUGCAGAUGCAAGAAGAAAAUAUGUACUACAGACGUGACACGAGACAAUAUCAAACUUUGAAGAAACUAUUGACCUUACUCAGACAGACCAUAGUUGUAUCCACUAAGAUGGGGGCGUGUAGGUGCUGGUGAUAACUCCUUAGGAACUGCUCGCUUGACCUCGACCAUUUUACCAUUCAUUAAACGUCUCAAGUAAGACGAGCUUAAACAUAAGUGAAAAAUCCAUAGUCUCUAAGUGUUGUGACACAUUACCACAACAUCUGUUAUAGUCCCAAACUGAUCAUCAAAGUACAUUUUGAAAUCACUCUUUGUCACUGUUAUUGGAUAAAAAAACAUUCUAAGCCACAUGANNNNNNNNNNNNNNNNNNNNNNNNNNNNNNNNNNNNNNNNNNNNNNNNNNGAUAAGCCACAUCCUUAACCUUCUUCAGCAAGGCUCCAAAAUUAUUGUUAAGACAAUGAAUUAGAACAUUUUAAUCUACUAGCAUCUCUUGUUUAUUUGUUAUACUCUAUGUAGGUAAAUACGAUGUAACAAGAAACAUGAAAGUACUAAGCUAAUUACUUAUUCAACUUAUCAGACUAAUGAACUUUGAUAUUGCUACUAUAAUGGAAGCAAUCCUAUGUUUACUAGAGGCACCAAUGCACCAUACCAGUUAGAAUAUUUUACUUCCGCUAGCCAAAGAAAUGCUAACAGUGUUAUAAUCCAAAUGAGUAUUCUCAUUUUCUUUCAGCCACUUGCAGAGUCAAUUCAUAGGUUUUCAAAAUGUUUUCAAGAAUGUACAUAAUAGAGCAUGCAGAAACUAACAUUGUAAAUUUUUUGUGUAGAAGAAAAAGUUGCAAUUGGACGAAGCACAGCCACCGGACACGACACGGACACUAACACGUCGACACCGAUAAUAAUUUGAGAAAAUGACAUAAUUCAAUGUAUCCAUAAGUGCCGGUGUCGGACACCGACGUGUGGACACACCUAAUCUGAGGAGUAUAUAUGCUUCAUGAAUUAAUUGGUUUACAGAAGUCUUGAUUACUCUUUAGCCAAAAUAGAAUUAGUUUAUCAAGAAUGCAAAAUGGAUAAUGCACCAUAAACAAGAUAUUAAUUGAGUUUAGGUUUGUUUUGUGGCUAUGCAGCUUAAGGGAAGAUUGCAGCAAAGGUAUCAGAGAAAUCGGAAAUGUGUUUGGUUGAACUUUAGUUUCACUCAUGGCUAAGGCUAGUGCAGCAGCAGCGGCAGAAUAGUAAUCCCACAACCAAGAACCGAUUAAGCAUAGCAUAGAUAGGUUCACAUCUAGUUUAAUAGGUUUCAUAUAUUGGUCUCUUAUCUAUAGUUUAAUAGGUUUCAUAUUGGUCCUAAAGUUAACAAGUUUUUCAAAAAAUUAACAGCACUGAUCAAUGUGACAUCCAGGGAUCAAAGAGGAACUUUUUGUCAUUAAAUGAUCAAUGUGAAACAAAAAAUUCUUUAAGGGGUAUGUUAUUAAAGAAAUAAUUAAUACCCUUAAAUUUUUUAAAGGGAUCUAACAAUCGUUAGUUGGGUUGGUUCAGUGGUCAUUAACACUCAACUUGGUAGGGAGAACCAUGGUUCAAUUCCCGUAAUAGCGAUCGGAAGGAGCUGAAAUCACUUGAUAUCAGAACUGACCCUCAAACUAGAUUAGACGGUCCAAUCGGCCAGAGACACUUGUGGUGAAAACAAAAAAAAUUGAAAAAAAUCCUACAAAAAGGAUAAAGAAAAAAUAGAAGAUGUUCUUUCAACAAAGUUAGUAAUAUUAUAUGAUUUGUGAAGUUAACUUUAGUUAUACAAUUAUCAUGAACUAAAAGAAGAGUGGAUUCUCUCAAUUUUUUUCUUCAUGUUCCUCAAGUUUGCUAAUCACUACCCUUCAAUUCACCUUUUUACCUUUUCUCCUUUCUCUCUCUUUCCGAAUCAAGGUUUCAAAAUAAAAUUUACCCUCAAUUUAAUGGAGAUAAUCCUCUCUCAACUAAAAAUACACCCACACUCCAAUCCAAGUUUCAUAUUGCUUACGUCAACUAUAAGAAACCUGGGCUUAUUGAAUGUGCGCCGCUAAAGUUGCUCUUUGUUACGUACGUAGGAGAGUCCCACGUGUGGUUGUUCUAGUGGUGUUAGUUUGGUUCCUUGGAGUAUGAUCAUCUCAAAGUCUCAUGUUAGAUUCCCUCUGAUGUGAAUUUUGGUGGCCUAGUCCAUAUAGAAAAAGAAAAAAAAAACAUGGUUUUAAAUGGGGCCUCACAAGUGGACGGUGAGAUUGAUCCCUUGGAUUCGUCGGUCAUAGCAUCGGAUACCAAAUGUACAAAAAAAAUUAUGUACCAGACUUAGUUUGUAUAUAUGUGAAAUAAUAUCAUUUAUUAAAAAUAAUUAAUUUUUUUCUUUGAUAUAAUGUGGGCAUCAGGGUAUGGUUUGUAUUAUUGUAUAUGUGAAAUUUUAAUUUUUCACGGUGCAAGAUAAUUUUUUUUUUGGCAUUAACCCUUUAAUUUUUAGGAAAAGAGGUUCAAUAUUUUAGAGUUUAGUUGUGGGGUAAAUAAAUUCUGAUUAAAAAUUGUUCCCGUAGUUUCACUGAGCUUAACUCAAUUGGUAGGACAUCGUACUAUAUGCGUAAGAGUUCGGGUUCGAACCCAGAAAACUUCAUUUAUUCAUCUUAAAUGUGGAUUUUCUAACCACUAUGUUACUUGACAAAAAAAUAGUUUCCACAAAAAAUUGAACUCAGAUUCUUCUAAUCAACGGAGUCUAAUAAAUCUAAGGCCUUGAUUUAUGUUUAUAGCUUUUGUUCAAGGCAUUAAGACGCCAUCUUCGGUCGCAAGACACCCGCCCCCAUUGCUGAGAAGUCACAAGCCUUUCAAUAAACAUAAUAAUUUACACUAGAAUGUUUUUUUCUUUGGACAAUAUUUAACACUAUAAUGUUAGUUUUAUAGGUUGUCGAGGUGUCAUGAAUAGACUAUGAUGGAAUAACUAUCUUUUUUAUUAGAAAUAAAAUAACUCACUUUAUAAAUUUAAAUUCAUUAAGUAACCUUUGAUUUAAGAUACAGUUGUCUUAGAAUUAGGUGUUGAAUUUAACUCAUCCUUACAAAAUCAGCUUGCAAGAUAAUGAUUGACUCUAGUUUAUAAACACAUAUUCAGGUCAUCUCGCAACCGAUGUGAACCCCUCGCGAUAAUAGCGCUUGAGGCGCAGAUAUAAAUGGUGGAUGACCCGAUCAGAAACAUGAUAACAAGCAAUUCAGGGAAUUGUGGAGAGGUUCUGAUAUCAUCUUAGAAUUAGGUAUUGAGUCUAACUCAUCCUUACAAAACCGGUUUGUAAGGUGAGGAUUGCCUCUAAUUUAUAAACACGAAUAAACCGAUGUAGACUUCGUUUAACAUGUUGAUAUUACACCUUUAUAAAAUUUGUACGAAACGAUCUCUGUCAUUGAUUCACGAUCGGACAGCUAUAAUUAAUUACAGCCGCACACAGUCACUGCGUGCAAUCCGUUUGCGAAAUACACAAGUUCUCUAAAAGAAAUAGUAUAAAAAUACACACAAGUUGAUUAUUUCACUUCACAACUCUUUGCACUGUUUCUAUACAUUGUGUGAUUUCUUCUUCUUUUUCUUAUUAUUGUUUGGUGGUUUUGAAACUUUUGGUGGUUUUGAUUUGUUCUUCACAAAUUUUCACAAACCCAUUUUCUUCCAAAAUUUGAAUAUUACAAGGCAUCUCAUGGAAGACAUGAGCAUUCAGGACUUGGUUUCGGUGUUGCGUACGGCAUUUAGGACAGAAGACUUUGAUAGAGUUGAAGGUGUUUUAGUGAGUAGAUAUAACAGACUCCAAACAGAGAUUCUAGACCUUAAAGAAAAACUUGAAUUGGAGAAACAAACCAGGUUUCAAGCUGAGGAAGAUUUGAGGAAAAGAGAGGAACUGUGCGAAAGACACAAGGAUAAUUAUGAAACAUUGAUGAAGGGAGUCAAGGAAAAAACUAGUUGUUUAACUGAAAGAGACAACAUUGGAGUUGGAGAGCUAAGAAAGAAGAACAAUGCAUUGGAAAUGGAAGUUUUUGAGCUGAGAAAAAGGAGUAAGGAUGCUCAAGGUGCAUCAUCAUCAUCAUCAGGUAUGAAAAAAAGAAGUGAGGCUCUUCCUGUUCCUAUGAUUACUGAUUUUGAAGACAGAGAUGAAGAGAAUAUUAUUGGUGAAUAUGAGAUUGGCAAUGGCAUUGUGGAGCCUAAUCCUUUGCGAAGUAACGAACCUCCUAGCAAAAAGAGCAAGAAAGCCGAAGGUGCAUCAUCAGGUAUGAAAUUUAUAUGCAUUUUUAUGAAUGUUGCUUAAUAAAUAUUUGAUUAUAUUUAAUUAAGUGAUUGUUAACCUACUUUUUUGCUUCUGAAUCUCAUGUUUCCUUAGCGAUGACACAAACUAGAGGAGCUACAGUUGAUGCUGCCCAUUCUAGACAUGGAAAUCCUAUUACCUCUUGUUGUAGAGAGUCUGUAGCUAGACAUGCGCCGGUAGUAGAGGAGGUCAUUGUGAUGGGCAGUGCUGUUGUCCCUCCAUCAGACGCGCAGGUAUAACGAAUCUUGAUUACAUCUAUAUUUAUUGGUGUUAAUUUGAAUAAUUUCUUCGUGAAUUGAAGAAAUUUAGGUGGAGUUGAGCACCGUAAAAUGUAUUUCAAAUCAUGGUUGUUUGUUGCAAUGUGAAGUUAUAUGAUCUAUUAUUCUAGUGUCUUAUGAUUUUUGAGUGCACAAACAUUGAAGAGAAGCUUAAAAGAAAGAUUUUGUAGUGUUUUUCUAGAACACGUACAUCCAAGUAUCCUACCUUGUACCCAAGCACAUUUCCGAAUUCCAAAACAGAAGUAUUCAGGUCAUUCUGCACCGGUGCGCUUCCUUGUGCGCUUGUGGUGUGUUCCAGAUGCAUUGGGACUGAUUUCAAUUUGUGGUUGAAUUGAAUGUUUUUGUAGGAACAAAUGGCAAUACACUUCAUAUCAUCGGUCCAUCAAGAGCGCUAUUCUGAGUUUCUGGCCAACAAAAAGUUUGUGGAAGAAACAAACUUCCGGUUUGAAGUGGGAAAAUACACACAUAUUGAAUCGACGAUAGAGCUCAGAAAAUGGGUGAAAUUGACAUCGUUUGCAAAAGAUGCUAGUAUGACAUUAGCUAAAGAGUUCUAUGCAAAUGCAUAUCAGGAUCCUGCUAAAAAAGAUGAGAAUAAUAAGAAUAAUCUGAAGAAAUUCACUAGUUUUGUCAGAGGGAAGGAGGUUCCAUUUCAUGAUGAAAUUAUCAACGAAUUGUUUGGGCUUGAGAAGCUUGAGAACUAUAAGCAGUGUUCCUUUGAAACAAGAACGGCCAAAGGCUCUAAAAUUGAUCAUCAGGAGAUUCGUAGUACUUUGUGUAGGCCCGAGACCGAUUGGGUUAUGAACAAAGACGGAACACCAGCAAAACUCCGCACUUCUGACCUCACACCCAAUGCUAAAGCAUGGGCAACAUUUGUUUUGCGUACCUUGCUCCCGUGUUCACAUAGGUCAGACUUGACCAUUCGGAAAGCAUCCUUGGUGACUGCAAUCCUUAAGGGUGAACAAGUCAAUGUUGGCCGUCUCCUAGCAAAUGACCUUUGGGGCACAGCCAACAGUUCUAUUACCUCAAGCUACAUCGGCCAUGCAUCAUUGAUCAGCAAGCUCUGUGAAAGGGUGGAGGUGUACCCUGAAAAUAAUGAGGAAAUGGUGAAGCCAUCUGGGGCAAUCACCCCAACAUUUUGAACACGCGCAUGAACCUAAAUAAUACUGAACAUGGAAUUGUAAAGGUAUGAAGUACCUUAUUGAAGAAAAUGAAAAUGUAUUUUGAAUUGAAGUUAAUCCUACUGUCAUAUAGUAAAUUUGAAUGAAAUAAUGUUGUUCAUAACAUUGAAUUGAUAACUAUCUCUAAAGCCAAUUGUACAAUUUCUUAUGCUAAACAAAGUAUUCCUCUAACCAUUCUGGUAUGUAACAUUACAUGAAAUGAUACAAAAAGCAUAAUACACUCACAGUACAAAUCUAAAACUUAAAAUCAAAGUAGUUGAAAUAAUAGUGACAAGAUUGUCACACUCAUAUCAAGCUUAUUUUAAACAGAAAGUAAAAACUAACACACAUAAUGGAGAAAAUAAUCACAACAAUAAAACUAGGACAUUUGCACCAUCUGGUUCAUGGUUGAACCAUUAGUCCUCCUCACUCUUGUUAUCCUUUUCACUCUUCUCUUAGGCUCCCCACCAAAUAUCAUCACAAGCCAUCUAGGCUUUCCAAUAAAAAACACAAAAUAUCCAAUGCCUAUUCCAAACACAAUUCCACAUCCAUAUCCAAUUGCCACCGGUUUCCAUCCAAAUCCAAAUUGAUGUCACUGUUGUGAAUCUGAGAGAGAUUUGGUAGAAGAUUUUGUUUGGUUGAGGAUGCAAGAAGAAGCUAAAAUUGAUGUCCUGUUGAACCAAUAUUGUCUAGUUACUAUCAUGUUUCAAUCUUGUCACAAAAAUCAUUGGAAACUGCUUUGGCCAAUCACCUUUCAGUCAAACUAAGCAGUGUAAGUCUUCCUAGUACAACACUUUCUGAUCUUUUUGUUGGUGUUUUUGAAUCUGAUAAAGAAAUUAUGGAUGCUAUGAAAAAUGAUUUGAUAGCAGUUAAAGAAAGAGAUCCUGCUUGUACAAGUCAUGUGCAUUGUUUCUUAAUUGUAUCUUCAUUGCUUUGUGCUACUUCUUGUUGUAAAAGUUGUAGCAUUCUAGCUUCAAGUGAUUGCAAGAGGUGUUCGAGCUCCAUCAC